rnacentral:sRNA from 1 species
UUGUAAAUCAUUUUAUUAUAUAUUAAAAGAUACGCUAACAUAAAUUUCCAAUUAUUUAUACGAUAUGUCAAUUUAAAACACAAACAAAGAUAAAGCUCAUUACCAACCGGUUUUGAAUUGUUAAUAUCCAACGAUUUGCGUAGAUCAGAGGAUGCCAAUUUGCGAUUCGACGUUAAUUGGCAAUUUUUUGGGACUUGGGAAAAUCGGAGCAUGGCUUAUACCGGCAAAAUCUUUUAAAAAAAUUGAAAACCCGCUUUUGGUGACUUUUUGGAAUUUCAUAAUAUUAAUUCGACAUCUAAAGUCCUAAUAUUCAUUAUAAUGAUGGUUUGUUAAAUAAAUGUAUAGCCUUUCA